rnacentral:rRNA from 1 species
UACGGAGGGUGCGAGCGUUGUCCGGAAUCACUGGGCGUAAAGGGCGCGUAGGUGGCGCGGCAAGUCAGCGGUGAAAGCCCGAGGCUCAACUUCGGGUCGGCCGUUGAUACUGCUGUGCUUGAGCACUGUAGAGGCAGGUGGAAUUCCGGGUGUAGCGGUGGAAUGCGUAGAGAUCCGGAAGAACACCGGUGGCGAAGGCGGGUCUCUGGGCCGAUACUGACGCUGAGGAGCGAAAGCGUGGGGAGCGAACAGG